AGUUUGAUCCUGGCUCAGGAUGAACGCUAGCUACAGGCUUAACACAUGCAAGUCGAGGGGCAGCAUUGGAGUAGCAAUACUUCAGAUGGCGACCGGCGCACGGGUGAGUAACACGUAUCCAACCUGCCGCUUACUCGGGGGUAGCCUUUCGAAAGAAAGAUUAAUACCCGAUGGUAUAAAGAGUUCGCAUGUUCUCUUUAUUAAAGAAUUUCGGUAAGCGAUGGGGAUGCGUUCCAUUAGAUAGUUGGCGGGGUAACGGCCCACCAAGUCUACGAUGGAUAGGGGUUCUGAGAGGAAGGUCCCCACAUUGGAACUGAGACACGGUCCAAACUCCUACGGGAGGCAGCAGUGAGGAAUAUUGGUCAAUGGACGCGAGUCUGAACCAGCCAAGUAGCGUGAAGGAUGACUGCCCUAUGGGUUGUAAACUUYNUUUUAUAAGGGAAUAAAGUGAGGGACGUGUCCCUUUUUGUAUGUACCUUAUGAAUAAGGAUCGGCUAACUCCGUGCCAGCAGCCGCGGUAAUACGGAGGAUCCAAGCGUUAUCCGGAUUUAUUGGGUUUAAAGGGAGCGUAGGUUGACAUAUAAGUCAGCUGUGAAAGUUUACGGCUCAACCGUGAAAUUGCAGUUGAUACUGUAUGUCUUGAGUGUACAAGAGGUGGGCGGAAUUCGUGGUGUAGCGGUGAAAUGCUUAGAUAUCACGAAGAACUCCAAUUGCGAAGGCAGCUCACUGGGGUACAACUGACACUGAGGCUCGAAAGUGUGGGUAUCAAACAGGAUUAGAUACCCUGGUAGUCCACACAGUAAACGAUGAAUACGCGCUGUUUGCGAUAUACAGUAAGCGGCCAAGCGAAAGCAUUAAGUAUUCCACCUGGGGAGUACGCCGGCAACGGUGAAACUCAAAGGAAUUGACGGGGGCCCACACAAGCGGAGGAACAUGUGGUUUAAUUCGAUGAUACGCGAGGAACCUUACCCGGGCUUGAAUUGCAGAGGAACAUAGUUGAAAGAUUAUGGCCGCAAGGUCUCUGUGAAGGUGCUGCAUGGUUGUCGUCAGCUCGUGCCGUGAGGUGUCGGCUUAAGUGCCAUAACGAGCGCAACCCUUAUCAUUAGUUACUAACAGGUCAUGCUGAGGACUCUAGUGAGACUGCCGUCGUAAGAUGUGAGGAAGGUGGA
rnacentral:rRNA from 1 species